rnacentral:rRNA from 1 species
UGCCAGCAGCCGCGGUAAGACGGAGGAUGCAAGUGUUAUCCGGAAUCACUGGGCGUAAAGCGCACGUAGGCGGACUGGAAAGUAUGGGGUGAAAUCCCAGGGCUCAACCCUGGAACUGCCUCAUAAACUAUCAGUCUAGAGUUCGAGAGAGGUGAGUGGAAUUCCGAGUGUAGAGGUGAAAUUCGCAGAUAUUCGGAGGAACACCAGUGGCGAAGGCGGCUCACUGGCUCGAUACUGACGCUGAGGUGAGAAAGUGUGGGGAGCAAACAGGAUUAGAUA